rnacentral:misc_RNA from 1 species
GAUGAAGAACGUAGCGAAAUGCGAUAAGUAAUGUGAAUUGCAGAAUUCAGUGAAUCAUCGAAUCUUUGAACGCACAUUGCGCCCUCUGGUAUUCCGGGGGGCAUGCCUGUUCGAGCGUCAUUACAACCCUCAAGCUUUGCUUGGUAUUGGACAUUGCCAGUUUCUGGCAGGUCUUAAAAUCAGUGGCGGUGCCAUUUGGCUUCAAGCGUAGUAAUUCUUCUCGCUUUGGAGAUCCAAGUGGUUACUUGCCAAUAACCCCCAAUUUUUUCAGGUUGACCUCGGAUCAGGUAGGGAUACCCGCUGAACUUAAGCAUAUCAAUAAGCGGAGGG